rnacentral:rRNA from 1 species
AUGAACGCUGGCGGCGUGCCUAAUACAUGCCAGUCGAGCGAACAGACGAGGAGCUUGCUCCUCUGACGUUAGCGGCGGACGGGUGAGUAACACGUGGAUAACCUACCUAUAAGACUGGGAUAACUUCGGGAAACCGGAGCUAAUACCGGAUAAUAUAUUUAACCGCAUGGUUCAAUAGUGAAAGACGGUUUUGCUGUCACUUAUAGAUGGAUCCGCGCCGCAUUAGCUAGUUGGUAAGGUAACGGCUUACCAAGGCAACGAUGCGUAGCCGACCUGAGAGGGUGAUCGGCCACACUGGAACUGAGACACGGUCCAGACUCCUACGGGAGGCAGCAGUAGGGAAUCUUCCGCAAUGGGCGAAAGCUUGACGGAGCAACGCCGCGUGAGUGAUGAAGGUCUUCGGAUCGUAAAACUCUGUUAUUAGGGAAGAACAAAUGUGUAAGUAACUAUGCACGUCUUGACGGUACCUAAUCAGAAAGCCACGGCUAACUACGUG